UCCAGGGUAGCCUAGUGGACAUGGCAUCUGCCCGGUAAGCGGAACGUUCUGGGUUCGAUUCCCGCCCCUGGAC
rnacentral:tRNA from 1 species